UCAAAAUCUAUUAAAUCCCCAUGUGUGAAAUGAGGGGAAGCCCAGCUGCCUUCCCACACCUCAGCCUCCUCUGGCACAAGGGACCAGAGAACCCUUGAGGUUUGAAAGAGGUGGUUUUAGAAUGAAGGAAACCCUGCAGAACUAAUUAAUAGACUUUUCCUUGCUGCACAAUAGGAAACAGAUAAAACACAGAGGUGCAAGGAAGAGAAGAAACACAUUCGCUGAGUGCCUAGUGAGGGCCAGGCACUGUGAUGGGGGCUUCACAUGCAUGAUCUCCUGUAAUUCCCAGAACAGCUUUAUAAGGUGUAGGCUUCAGCCCCGUUUUACUCCUAAGCAAAUUGAGGCCCAAAGAAAUUAAGCUCUUUGCCUAAGAUGACAUAUGAGUAAGUGGCAGAGUUGGCUUUUGAAUCCAGGUCUAUCUGAUACCAAAGUUACAACAGGCUUCCUCCCUGCUCUGCCUGAGCAGUUCAACAGUGCUGAAUAUGAAUGUCUGGAGUUUGUAACAAAACUCAAUAAUGGCCUUUGGUUGAACUUUUUGCUAUUAACAAAACAAAACCCUAUGAAACUAAUAAAGGAUUAAUUUCUGUAAGAGGUGAGUAAAUGGACCUAACCAAAUUAAUCUGAAAAGUGGUGCCAUCCCCCAAAUAGGUAAGGUACUACAGACACUGAAUCUAUGGUUUCUCAGAACACAGACAACCCAACAAGGUGGCUUCCUGGAAAAAGUAGGAGCUCCACUGCCAAAAACCUGGGAAAUACUGCACUCAGUCUACCUUCCUCUUAACUGAUUCCCAACCUUCGUUGGCAUAUUAAAGGCUCUGAGAAAUCUUACCUGAAGAAAGCUAAUUUCUGUUUAGCCCAGGGCCUACCAGAAAAGUAUUUAAACAUGGAAUAUUUUUUUCUUCCUGUCAAAAUUCUCCUGGGACAGUGUUCCAUGGAACAAAAUGUAGAACAUUGCUCUAAAUUUCUAAAUUGCUAUGGAACUAAUGCUGAGCUUUUGGUUUCCUUGAGUGCCAGGCAAUAAUCUGGAAGAAUAAUAAAGAAACAUACAUAGAGCAAGGCAAAGCACAGUACUCGGCAUUUUAUACGCAUUACAUUACUGAUUCCUCAAAGUCACCCUCUGAAGUUGAUGCUGUGAAGAUCCCAUUUUACAGAUAAGAAAACCGAGGCCCAGAAAGGGUUAAAAGCCCAGCACUUUUACAUAGUGGAGACCAAGGCUCAAGGAGACAAAACGGACCAGCCCAAAGUCUCACAGCUGGUCAGUGUUGGAGCUGACACUUGCAUCCAGGGUGUCUGACCCAGGACCCCUUGUUUCCUCUGCAACUCCCUACCCACACUGUGAGUCACCACGGCUACGAACUGGGGAGGGUCAGAUGGUUGCGUGAAUCCCCUCCGCCCUGGUUGUCGCAUGAGUAGCAGCCAGCAGCCUGUUGAGGCCUGGGCCAGGCCCUGCGGCAGCAGAGGAACUGCACUAUUUUAAGCCAGGGCCAGCAGGCCCCAUGUGGGCACAGGGAGGGUGGCCUCGGGCCCUUGGCCAGCUUCCCGGAAGUCACCAUGGCCUCCCUCCUCUCCCCUGAACAGCUUUCUGAGGCAGUCACUUCCCAACAAACAGGAAGGAGGCCCUCAGGCCAGGAGACCUCCAGCCCCAGCUUCCUUCUCCUACCCACCCCCCCAUCUUCUCUACAUGGGGGAGCCCACCAGCUAGCUACGUGCCGUUAUCUGGACUGACUCUUAGCAGG